rnacentral:tRNA from 1 species
GCGGGCGUAGUACAUCGGUAGUAUGCGAGCUUCCCAAGCUUGAGAGGCGGGUUCGAUUCCCGCCGCCCGCACCA